GGCGGCCAGACGCCUAUCAUUCAACUCUUCCCAAUCUAAUUGCCCAGUAUAAAUAAAGGCAAAAAAAUAAAUCAGAAGCCAAGUGUUUUUAAAUGCACUAAAUGAAAGGCUGUAUUCAUGCCACCUCCCUCAAAUGAAUCACCAGAUUAAAUGCGAGAUGUGAGCACCAAAUCAAUAACUUGAGACAGAGAUGUCUUGCCUGUUCUUCAGGAAAAUUCCAUUUCCUUUCCGAUGUUGUUGCUUGAAAUGUCAGGAAGUUUCCAUACAUCUCCACCCUUGAAAAUGCCGCUGGUGCCGUCCAUCCUCCAGCUUUGCUUCCUUUCUUCAGGGAAACCCAGGCACCUUGCCAGAGAAAGGCCUCGUGUCACAGCCUCCGAGAGUCUCUACAUAGGCAGUGUGUGGAAGAAAAGGCAUGGAGAGGUUGGGGUGAAAAACAAACACACAAACAAACAACAAAACCCCCAAAUUAGAAUACCAAUGUUUUCUUCCAGUGCCUCAAAGAGACCACACUAUUGUGUGUACUACAGGUGGGCCACUGAGGCUAAUAGAAGAAAAUACAUUAGGGGGUUGAGAAGGGAACCUAAGUCUUGACCUUGAAGGUUCUCUGUGCUUCAUUGUUGUCUAAUAGAAUAGAGUAAAUACAAAUGAGGCUCAUUACAGUCUCUACACUGCCUCCCACGUGUCACAUAACCCUGGGCUGUAUAUGCAACUCCUCGCACCUGAAUAUUUGGAUGUAUAAAUGGGGUCAUGGCAGCCAAGUGUUCAGCUGCUGUCACUGUUCAAAAUGCAAUCAAAAUGGAAUAUCUCAUUUCU
ensembl:lincRNA Gm29064 predicted gene 29064